UGGCGGACGGGUGAGUAACGCGUGGGUAACCUGCCUUGUACUGGGGGACAACAGUUAGAAAUGACCGCUAAUACCGCAUAAGCGCACAGUAUCGCAUGAUACAGUGUGAAAAACUCCGGUGGUACAAGAUGGACCCGCGUCUGAUUAGCUAGUUGGUAAGGUAACGGCUUACCAAGGCGACGAUCAGUAGCCGACCUGAGAGGGUGACCGGCCACAUUGGGACUGAGACACGGCCCAA
rnacentral:rRNA from 1 species